rnacentral:rRNA from 1 species
UAGGGAAUCUUCGGCAAUGGGGGGAACCCUGACCGAGCAACGCCGCGUGAGUGAAGAAGGUUUUCGGAUCGUAAAGCUCUGUUGUUAAGGAAGAACGAGUGUGAGAAUGGAAAGUUCAUACUGUGACGGUACUUAACCAGAAAGGGACGGCUAACUACGUGCCAGCAGCCGCGGUAAUACGUAGGUCCCGAGCGUUGUCCGGAUUUAUUGGGCGUAAAGCGAGCGCAGGCGGUUAGAUAAGUCUGAAGUUAAAGGCGGUGGCUCAACCAUUGUAGGCUUUGGAAACUGUUUAACUUGAGUGCAGAAGGGGAGAGUGGAAUUCCAUGUGUAGCGGUGAAAUGCGUAGAUAUAUGGAGGAACACCGGUGGCGAAAGCGGCUCUCUGGUCUGUAACUGACGCUGAGGCUCGAAAGCGUGGGGAGCGAACAGG